AAGGCCUUAGCUUAAUUAAAGUGUUUGAGUUGCAUUCAAUUGAUGUAGGAUAGAAUCCUACAGGUCUUA
rnacentral:tRNA from 1 species